rnacentral:rRNA from 1 species
GAUCCUGGCUUAGGAUGAACGCUGGCGGCGUGCCUAACACAUGCAAGUCGAACGGAGCUUACUUGAAGGAGACUUCGGUCAACGGAAGGGUAAGCUUAGUGGCGGACGGGUGAGUAACGCGUGGAGAACCUGCCCUGUACAGGGGGAUAACAGUGAGAAAUCACUGCUAAUACCGCAUAAGCGCACAGUACCGCAUGGUACAGUGUGAAAAACUCCGGUGGUACAGGAUGGCUCCGCGUUGGAUUAGCCAGUUGGCGGGUAACGGCCCACCAAAGCGACGAUCCAUAGCCGGCCUGAGAGGGUGAACGGCCACAUUGGGACUGAGACACGGCCCAGACUCCUACGGGAGGCAGCAGUGGGGAAUAUUGCACAAUGGGGGAAACCCUGAUGCCAGCGACGCCGCGUGAAGGAAGAAGUAUCUCGGUAUGUAAACUUCUAUCAGCAGGGAAGAUGAUGGCGGUACCUGACUAAGAAGCCCCGGCUAACUACGUGCCAGCCGCCGC